CGUCAAAUCAUCAUGCCUCUUACGUUCUGGGCUACACACGUGCUACAAUGGUGACUACAAAGAGUUUCGAUGUGGUAACACGGAGGCAAUCUCAAAAAAGUCAUCUCAAUUCGGAUUGUGGGCUGAAACUCGCCCACAUGAAGUCGGAGUUGCUAGUAAUCCCGAAUCAGCAUGUCGGGGUGAAUGCGUUCCCGGGUCUU
rnacentral:rRNA from 1 species